CAGAUUCCUAAUCUGUAGGUCGCAGGUUCGAAUCCUGCCGGGGUCACCA
rnacentral:tRNA from 1 species